UACAGAGGUCUCAAGCGUUGUUCGGAUUCAUUGGGCGUAAAGGGCGUGUAGGUGGUGCUGUAAGUCUGGCGUGAAAUUUUUCGGCUUAACCGGGAAAGGUCGUCGGAUACUGCAGGACUAGAGGACGGUAGAGGCGUGUGGAAUUCCGGGUGUAGUGGUGAAAUGCGUAGAGAUCCGGAGGAACACCAGUGGCGAAGGCGACACGCUGGGCCGUACCUGACACUGAGGCGCGAUAGCAUGGGGAGCAAACAGG
rnacentral:rRNA from 1 species